CAUUGGCGAAAGCUGAUGGAGCAACGCCGCGUGAGUGAAGAAGGAUUUCGGUUCGUAAAACUCUGUUGUAAGGGAAGAACAAGUACAGUAGUAACUGGCUGUACCUUGACGGUACCUUAUUAGAAAGCCACGGCUAACUACGUGCCAGCAGCCGCGGUAAUACGUAGGUGGCAAGCGUUGUCCGGAAUUAUUGGGCGUAAAGCGCGCGCAGGUGGUUUCUUAAGUCUGAUGUGAAAGCCCACGGCUCAACCGUGGAGGGUCAUUGGAAACUGGGAGACUUGAGUGCAGAAGAGGAUAGUGGAAUUCCAAGUGUAGCGGUGAAAUGCGUAGAGAUUUGGAGGAACACCAGUGGCGAAGGCGACUAUCUGGUCUGUAACUGACACUGAGGCGCGAAAGCGUGGGGAGCAAACAGGAUUAGAUACCCUGGUAGUCCACGCCGUAAACGAUGAGUGCUAAGUGUUAGGGGGUUUCCGCCCCUUAGUGCUGCAGCUAACGCAUUAAGCACUCCGCCUGGGGAGUACGGUCGCAAGACUGAAACUCAAAGGAAUUGACGGGGGCCCGCACAAGCGGUGGAGCAUGUGGUUUAAUUUGAAGCAACGCGAAGAACCUUACCAGGUCUUGACAUCCCGUUGACCACUGUAGAGAUAUGGUUUCCCCUUCGGGGGCAACGGUGACAGGUGGUGCA
rnacentral:rRNA from 1 species